UGGGGAAUAUUGCACAAUGGGCGAAAGCCUGAUGCAGCGACGCCGCGUGAGGGAUGACGGCCUUCGGGUUGUAAACCUCUUUCAGCAGGGACGAAGCGCAAGUGACGGUACCUGCAGAAGAAGCACCGGCUAACUACGUGCCAGCAGCCGCGGUAAUACGUAGGGUGCAAGCGUUGUCCGGAAUUACUGGGCGUAAAGAGUUAGUAGGCGGUUUGUCGCGUCGGUUGUGAAAACCAGCAGCUCAACUGCUGGCUUGCAGGCGAUACGGGCAGACUUGAGUACUGCAGGGGAGACUGGAAUUCCUGGUGUAGCGGUGAAAUGCGCAGAUGUCAGGAGGAACACCGGUGGCGAAGGCGGGUCUCUGGGCAGUAACUGACGCUGAGGAACGAAAGCGUGGGUAGCGAACAGG
rnacentral:rRNA from 1 species